rnacentral:rRNA from 1 species
GACGAACGCUGGCGGCGUGCUUAACACAUGCAAGUCGAACGGCAAGGCCCUGCUUUUGUGGGGUGCUCGAGUGGCGAACGGGUGAGUAACACGUGAGUAACCUGCCCUUGACUUUGGGAUAACUUCAGGAAACUGGGGCUAAUACCGGAUAGGAGCUCCUGCUGCAGGGUGGGGGUUGGAAAGUUUCGGCGGUUGGGGUUGGACUCGCGGCUUAUCAGCUUGUUGGUGGGGUAGUGGCUUACCAAGGCUUUGACGGGUAGCCGGCCUGAGAGGGUGACCGGCCACAUUGGGACUGAGAGACGGCCCAGACUCCUACGGGAGGCAGCAGUGGGGAAUAUUGCACAAUGGGCGGAAGCCUGAUGCAGCAACGCCGCGUGUGGGAUGACGGCCUUCGGGUUGUAAACCGCUUUCGCCUGUGACGAAGCGUGAGUGACGGUAAUGGGUAAAGAAGCACCGGCUAACUACGUG